CAGGCUUAACACAUGCAAGUCGAGGGGCCCUUUUGGUGAAGGCUUGCCUUUACCAGCCGGCGACCGGCGCACGGGUGAGUAACACGUAUGCAACCUGCCUGCCACAGCCGGAUAAUCGGGAGAAAUUCCGUCUAAUACGGCAUAAUGCACCUAUGGGACAUCCUGUUGGUGCCAAAGGUUGAUUCCGGUGGCGGAUGGGCAUGCGUCGCAUUAGUUAGUUGGCGGUGUAACGGACCACCAAGACGACGAUGCGUAGGGGUUCUGAGAGGAAGGUCCCCCACACUGGUACUGAGACACGGACCAGACUCCUACGGGAGGCAGCAGUGAGGAAUAUUGGUCAAUGGGCGGGAGCCUGAACCAGCCAAGUCGCGUGAGGGAUGACGGCCCUAUGGGUUGUAAACCUCUUUUGCCGGGGAGCAAAGUGCCGCACGUGUGCGGUUUGGAGAGUACCCGGAGAAAAAGCAUCGGCUAACUCCGUGCCAGCAGCCGCGGUAAUACGGAGGAUGCGAGCGUUAUCCGGAUUUAUUGGGUUUAAAGGGUGCGUAGGCGGACGCUUAAGUCAGCGGUAAAAUUUGCGGGGCUCAACCUCGUCGAGCCGUUGAAACUGGGCGCCUUGAGUGGGCGAGAAGAACGCGGAAUGCGUGGUGGUAGCGGUGAAAUGCAUAGAUAUCACCAGAAACUCCGAUUGCGAAGGCAGCGUACCGGCGGCCAACUGACGGUGAAGCACGAAGGCUGGGGUAUCGAACAGGAUUAGAUACCCUGGUAGUCCACGCAGUAAACGAUGAUUGCUAGUUGUCCGGGGCGAUUGAGUUCUGGGUGACACAGCGAAAGCGUUAAGCAUUCCACCUGGGGAGUACGCCGGCAACGGUGAAACUCAAAGGAAUUGACGGGGGCCCGCACAAGCGGAGGAACAUGUGGUUUAAUUCGAUGAUACGCGAGGAACCUUACCCGGGCUCAAACGCAGGAGGGAUGUUUUUGAAAGGAGGCAGCCAGCAAUGGUUUCCUGCGAGGUGCUGCAUGGUUGUCGUCAGCUCGUGCCGUGAGGUGUCGGCUUAAGUGCCAUAACGAGCGCAACCCCUACCUACAGUUGCCAUCGCGUGAUGGCGGGCACUCUGUGGGGACUGCCUGCGCAAGCAGUGAGGAAGGCGGGGAUGACGUCAAAUCAGCACGGCCCUUACGUCCGGGGCGACACACGUGUUACAAUGGCAGGUACAGCGGGAAGCCACCCGGCGACGGGGCGCGGAACCCGAAAACCUGUCUCAGUUCGGAUUGGAGUUUGCAACCCGACUCCAUGAAGCUGGAUUCGCUAGU
rnacentral:rRNA from 1 species